rnacentral:rRNA from 1 species
UACGUAGGGGGCAAGCGUUGUCCGGAAUCAUUGGGCGUAAAGAGCGUGUAGGCGGCCAGAAAAGUCCGCUGUGAAAACUCGAGGCUCAACUUCGAGCUGUCGGUGGAAACUUUCUGGCUAGAGUCCGGAAGAGGAGAAUGGAAUUCCUGGUGUAGCGGUGAAAUGCGCAGAUAUCAGGAGGAACACCGGUGGCGAAGGCGGAUUCUGGCCAUUCGUCGA